ACCCCGCCUUUUUCAUGGGACACCCACAACCGUAAGAUCAACUCUAUCCUCGGCUACAGUCACUGCCAGCCAUAUUAUAGCACUGAAAAAAUAAUGCCACUAUUUCCUAUUUUGUUAAUGAUUUUUUAAUCGAAAGGCAAGAAAGAUAGCAACCUUUAUACGUAACCUAACUGUGUGCAAGAACACGUCAAACCUAAACACAAAAUGUCUUCAUCUUCCACAACGCGAAGCGCAUCCUGGAUGCCAACUGCCAACUUGAUCAUUGUAGGAUUGGGGAUUCUUAUGAUGGGCUCACCCGCGUCCUGCAUGGAUGUUCUGGUGACUCAGCAGCUCAACGCCCUCAAUGGCACGCUGGUCAAGCUGUCCUGCACCUUCACUUCCUGUUACAAGGUGGACCCCAGCAAGUUUGCCAUGAACUGGACCUACCAAGAGGCACAGAACGACACGGAGGAGCUGUUCAUGACCUACAAACACCGCAUGACCACGCAGAAGACGGAGCGUUUUGGGGACCGGGUGUUGUUUGCUGGGAACCUGGACAAGAACGACGUGUCCGUCACCAUCUCCGACAUACAGCUGGCGGACAACGGGAUCUACAACUGCUAUGUGCGCAAUCCCCCCGACCGCCAGCAGGGGCAUGGAGUCAUCAAGCUGUCCGUCCUCACAGAAUUGCCGCCCCCCCGGGACUCCACCAUCGCCGUGGCGAUUGGGGCCUCUGUGGGGGGGAUCCUAGCCCUGCUCAUCCUGUCCAUGGUGGUGGUGAAGUGCAUACGCAGGCAGCAGAAACAGGAGCCGCUGUCCGAUGAGCAGAAGACGGACGAGGAGGGGAAAACGGACGGAGAAGGGGGUGCCGAAGAGGGAACCAAGAAACUAUAACCAGCCUACGUGGUCCCAGGAGGCCUGCGCAUUGAUGGAGGCCACUCCCCCUCCUGCUGACAUGUAUAUUCCUUGCCUGAAGACAAGUAUUAGACCUCGCUUGAAUCGUCGUCCUGUGACUGAAACCCUGAACUCCCUCCCACCUCUGCUCCUACCCUUCUCUGGCCCGGUCCCACUGCAGGACAUUUCAGUGCCCACGUUUCAGAGGCCCUAGCCACCAUUGGCCGCCAUUUUGGCUCUUCCUCUCCUAGUCGCAAAACCUCAAAUGGGAGAAGACAACAGGAUCCAAAUCACUUGGUGGAACAUAAGGUCGUCAAACUGCAUUCAUUCCCCCCAGACUAAUUCCCCGGGGCCAUUUUGAUCUGGGACUAGGUAUGGGUUGAAACAAAGAAUGUUUGUUGUUACAUUUCUUAUUGAUCUUUUAUAUCAACGACUGCUUCUUCCCGUUUUCUCUCACCAAAUAUCUGUUCCCCCCCAUGUACUUCCAGCAGUUUCAGUAAGCAUUUGACUGCCCCAGACUAACAGAAAACAUUCAGGAAACAGCCUGCUAAGGGGGUCAGCCCCACAAGAACAUACUGCCACCGUAGCUUUCCUCAACUUUUGCCAGAAAUGGGUGCAAAUUCUACUCUGUAGGCAAUUUUAGGAGCAUGUGUUCCAAACACAUACCUAACUCAUUUUCUAUCUCUUGGUCAGAUUCUUUCAAUCCCUCUUUUUAUUUUCCUCUCUUUUUUCCCCCCUCACUCUAGGGUUAAGUUGAAGGGCCACUCUCACUGACAGCUAGUAUAUGCGCGAGCUGUGUGUGUGUGUGUGUGUGUGUCUGUGAGCUCACAAUGCAUACUUUCCCUUGUGUGGAAAUGUUGCUGGUUUCCCUGUGAACGCAGUGAGUCCUGUAGUUUGCCUCAUGUUGUAUAGUAAGUGGGAGGCGUGUGAUUGACACCGAGGGAGAGGGAAGUGUCAUUGAUGUGAUCUUCUCUGGGUGGAGACCCCCAGGGUUACAGAUCUCGACAUAGGGCGGCUGCGCAAUAUACUGUAUCAAAUCGCGUUUUUUAAAGUGUUAUAAUAAUAACGACAUAACGGCCGGCCACCAUGGGGUGUAUAUUUUUUCUUUAAUCACACCUGAUGUGACUGUAAACAACUGAACGUCAGUGGCCAUGUCAAAUACUUCUGGGCUAAAAAAAAAAACCCCAUCACUGAUAUAUAUGGGCCUCAGAAGUUUGUCAUUUCCUUCAGGUUUAGCAUUUGGAUAAAAAACAAAAUAGACGGCCUAUGGGAGAAAUAAAUGGAAUUUUCCUAAUUCUUUCAAAAUAUGCUGUACAUUUUUGAUGCAAAUUUUUGUGUCAUUUAAAAAAAUGAAUUGCUGAUGGCUAAGAGGUUAGCGACCCAUUGCACAACAUCACACACAGCUGUAUUUCCAGCUGCCAAAUUUUGUAGUCAUAUAUAUCACUAAAUAUCUUUAUUGCUGUUAUUGUUGCUGUACUGGUUAGUAAUUUCCUGAAGUUUUUCCUUAAAUUUCCUUUACUUCUGUUAUUUUUUUGCGGGAUAAUUUCUUUAACGUUUUUCUUUUUUUUUUUUUGCUAGCUUUGACUAGCUUGAAUAGCCGCCACAGAACACGCUAUAGCUAGAACCUAUUCUAGGUUCGGUAGCCACACCCACCCCUCCCCACACAGAGACAGAUUACCAGUGCAUUAUAGAUAUUCCUUGGAAUGGUUAUUUUUUCAAAACAAAAUUCUGCAUAGUAUGCCUGUGCAGAUAAAAAUGUCCAUGUUUUAAAUGUCAGUUUAAAUCACAGACUGUGACAGGGGUGGUCAUGCAAAACUCCCAUUCAUUUUUUCCAUAGAGAAAUUCUUCUUUGAUCCGAAAAAUCCCAUAUAUGGGUAAGGGCUUUGCUCCGCGUUAUGUCAAACUUCCAAGGCCCAUUGGGUGCUAGCAAGACAGCAGCAAGGCCUUUCAGUUUCUAUGUGAUUGAAAAAACAAAUCACAUGAUCACACAGAAGCUGCUCGACCUUGCUGCUGAUUGCCUGUCUUAUCAAUAGCCAAAAGAUAUGAGUGAUAACAUUUUUGCCCGGAAACAUUUCACAUGUGCUUUGACAUUUGGUUGUUUACUACUGCACCACAUAUUCAAGAAAAAAAAGACUGAAAACUAAAGAUUGUCUAUAUGAUUGUCUAUGUCAGCGGUUAUUGUUAUUAUGCUUUAAAAAACUGCUAUUUGAUAUAUAGAAUAGCCCUAACUCAACGCUGAUUUUUUUGCCUGCAUUGCUUGCAUACAUAAAGUACACUAUAGACCAACAUGAGUAUUAUUAGUGUUACUGUCCGUACAAUACAUUUGCAUGCAGUUAAAACUGAAGUAUUACUUUAGCACACAUAACGACAGGCAUGACACUGUCCAGUCUGGAUGCUAAAUAUUUUCCAGGGAAUCAGUAAAUGAGCAAUCAUGUGUCAUAUGCUCAGGCCCUAUCACAAAAAUGACAUUUUGUCCCUCACGUUACCUCCACACACACACACACACACGCACACAUACACACAUGCAUGCAAACACACACAAACACACACAGCGGUUGGGGUUGGAAUAUCCGUUUGUCAAAUUAUAUGUAUGUGCAUGUCUGGUUUGUAGUCCUGACCGGACAGUGUAAUGGUAGUUUGUAAUAAAUUCACUUGUCAGUGACUCCCUGGUCCACCAUCCGACCCCGACCCCCCACAACCGCCCCGCACCCCCCCGGUCUUACAGCACCCGGUUUUGUCUGCAAUUACACUUCCAGCUACGCAUGUUGUCCGGUUUUUUCUAAAUCUGGCAACCCUAACACAAACACACACACACAAACACACACACACACACUUUCAGGGAGACAAAAAUAUGAAAACAUUUUUACAAAUAGAUUCGAUUAUAUGAAAUAGAUUUCUACUUUGUAAGGGAAAAAACAUAGUUUAUAGGUUUUUGUUGUUUCUAUUGCUAAAUAUUGUCCUGAGUGUCUUUACUAACUGUUGUUGUUUGAAUGUAAGAAAUUUUUAAGCUCUGCACAUUUUCCUCUGAAAUAUUUGUACUAUGACUGACACAAAAUUGAAAGUAGAACUUCAGAUGACAUUGCAGAUAGUGUGUCAAUGCUGUUAGCUUAGACGUGUUAGCCGGUGAAUGGAGCCAACCCAUUGGUUAAAUUAGACUGAAACUGCACCUCUGCCUCCCUUUUGUGGUCAGCGAAUCGCCAAUCAGUAUCUACUGCCAGAUAUUUUUCUAUUGAAAAAAAAAGAGGUAAUAUUUCUAGGGCUUAAAAUAAUUGCCAUUCAUUUAGGGCUUUUGAGGACACCUUCAAUGAACCCAGGGAGAAGUUUUAUUUGAGGCAGGCAUUUGACCAGAGUAAUCUUUUUAUGCUUGGUGUCAACCGCUUUCCUAUCUUUUCCUGGGCAUAUUCUUUGAAUGCGCAGAGAUGGUAAAAUCCAGCAGUGUAUAUGUGUUGCAAGUGUAUGCCUUGUUCAGAGAAUUGUCAUAUAUAUUCUUGAAAGAACAUUCCAGCAUAAACAAAGCUGAGCUAAUCAAGAUAGUUUAAGCUGUGCUUUCAACACUUUAGCUGGUUUUAGCUGGAUGACUAGCUAUUCAACCACUGUCCAGCCACUAGUCAGUGAGUCCACCAUUUUGGCGUCCAGCUUACUUUCCCAGCUUACUUGGACCAACUUUGAUGGUCUUAGUUGGAAGUGGGGCGGUAUAUUGAAAAAUACAUGUUGAAAUAGCACUGAGCCUCGAUGCAUAAAAAGAAGAUUGUUAUAAGAAAGGGAAGUAUUAAUUGCAGAUUUCUCUUUAGGGUACGUGCAAAUUCAUUGGCAUGGGAAUCUAAUUGCAACCAACCUUGCAAUUGACAAGUGCCAACUUUUGAUUGUGCAGACUCUGAAUUUUAAAACUGGUAUUUUGUAAUAACCUAUUAAUGCACAAUCAGUCUGUUCAAGGAAAGUUUAACAACAGUGCUAAACUUAUGUAUCGCUAUUGUAAACGCGCAGUAGCACACAGUCACGAUUUUUCGGCAAGAAAAAAUUCAAGAACUUGACUGAGGCUUGGGACCAUGUAUUGUACAGUAAGAUAUAUUUGUAAGCACUUAUAUCCUGGAGACUUAAACAAUUGAUAACACGCACGUGCACGCACACACACACACACACACACACACACACAGAGCAGCAGCAGCAGCACUGUACAUUCAAUAAUCUAAGAGGUGAAGGGGUGAAGGUUUCCAGUUGUCAAGUGUGUAAUUGGCAUACUGGAGGUUUACAUAAGUCAAUGUGUGCAUGGUUGGGUACCACAAUGUGAUUCUGCCCGUCUGAUGUUGCUAGUUCCCACUCGUGGGGCCUAAAGCCUGGGCCCACGGUGGCCCAAAAUACCCAGUAGUGCUCCAUCAUAUCUGGGGGCCGACUGCUAAUUGCUGGGCUGUUUGCUGCUGACCUCUUUACUUCUCACUGUUUUUCCCGUUUGCUUUUGCAUCAGUUGCUGCCAAAGAAAAAAUUCCCCCCUCUCUUUCCCCCAGAUUCACUUUUUGUUUCUUUAGAGUAGUUUCAGUAUCAUUUUGUUUCUUCUUCUUUUUUUUAUUUUUAUUUUUUUUAGUUUUGUACAACACCUAUUAGUACAUGUCCUUUCUGAUAGGUGUUGU